CCCUUAGAUGUCCUGGGCUGCACGCGCGCUACACUGGAAGUUACGGAUUGAGAUACUACCUUGUCCGAAAUGGUCCGGGUAAUCACCUAAAAGCUUGUCAUAAUUGGAAUGGAUUAUUGUAACUAGUAAUCCUGAACGAGGAAUUCCUAGUAAGUCCCAGUCAACAGCUGGUACUGAUUACGUCCCUGCCCUUUGUACACGCCGCCCGUCGCUACUACUGAUUGGACGUUUAAGCAAGAUUUUUAAACACUGACAGUGUGUAGUUCACGCUAUACUACAGUGAGAAGAAGAAGAUCGAGCUUACUUGUCUAGAGGAAGUAAAAGUCGUAACA
rnacentral:rRNA from 1 species